rnacentral:rRNA from 1 species
UACGUAGGGAGCAAGCGUUAUCCGGAUUUAUUGGGUGUAAAGGGUGCGUAGACGGAGAAGCAAGUUAGUUGUGAAAUCCCUCGGCUUAACUGAGGAACUGCAACUAAGACUACUUCCCUUGAGUACUGGAGAGGAAAGUGGAAUUCCUAGUGUAGCGGUGAAAUGCGUAGAUAUUAGGAGGAACACCAGUGGCGAAGGCGACUUUCUGGACAGUAACUGACGUUGAGGCACGAAAGUGUGGGGAGCAAACAGG